GAUGAACGCUGGCGGCGUGCCUAAUACAUGCAAGUCGAGCGAGCGGACGAGAAGCUUGCUUCUCUGAUGUUAGCGGCGGACGGGUGAGUAACACGUGGAUAACCUACCUAUAAGACUGGGAUAACUUCGGGAAACCGGAGCUAAUACCGGAUAAUAUUUUGAACCGCAUGGUUCAAAAGUGAAAGACGGUCUUGCUGUCACUUAUAGAUGGAUCCGCGCUGCAUUAGCUAGUUGGUAAGGUAACGGCUUACCAAGGCAACGAUGCAUAGCCGACCUGAGAGGGUGAUCGGCCACACUGGAACUGAGACACGGUCGAGACUCCUGCGGGAGGCAGCAGUAGGGAAUCUUCCGCAAUGGGCGAAAGCCUGACGGAGCAACGCCGCGUGAGUGAUGAAGGUCUUCGGAUCGUAAAACUCUGUUAUUAGGGAAGAACAUAUGUGUAAGUAACUGUGAACAUCUUGACGGUACCUAAUCAGAAAGCCACGGCUAACUACGUG
rnacentral:rRNA from 1 species